GCCUGUCUAGCUCAGUUUGUAGAGCGCAAAGCUCUUAACCUUAUGGUCGUGGGUUCAAGCCCCAUGGCAGUUG
rnacentral:tRNA from 1 species